ensembl:ncRNA F38B7.14 ncRNA
AUGGAAGAGUGGAAUGCGGGGACAAAUGAAAAAGAGGAGAUGCUCCUGCUCCCUAAAUUUGAUUUGGUUCGUUCCUUCCGGUGAGAUGAAGAAGACGAACAAACUAUUUGUUUUUAAACCCAAGAGCAUCGAAUGUUGAGAAAGAAAUGGGCGGAGCAUGGUACAACGGAAAUUUGAAAACCUUCUACAGAUGCUCACAUGGGUGAUCGU